ensembl:lncRNA
GAGACCAUCUGUGUUAAUAUGGCUUAAUUAAGAAUACGGAUCAGCUGAGCCACCCAUCCCCCCCACACACACCUCCCCCGCCGCCCGCAGGCUUCUACGGUUGCCAUGACGGCGGCCUUGUUCUGGGCUGCACUUGGCUUUGCACCUGUGCUCGAGUUCUACGUCUUCACCAUGGCCACCACUGCGCAUCAACUUUCUCCUCAUCGCAGACUUCUUCUGGUUGGUGUCUCUGCUGCUUUCCUCCCUUGUUUGGUUUAUGACAGCAGUCAUUACUGACAUCAAAGAUGGACCAGUGCGGAAAUGUCUGCUGAUUUUUGGAGUGUUAGUCUGUCCUUAGGCAAGAAAUGUGCCGGUUUGCAUGUUAUAAACCUUUUUUUUUUUUAAGCCAGUGAGGGCUUGAAGAGGAUAAACCCAGGUGAGAGCACCCUCUACGGACUGCUGGCUUAUGUCUCUGGCGUGGGCUUUGAAAUCAUGAGUGGAGCAUUUUCCUCUGUAAAUACUCUGUCUGAUUCUCUGGGGCCAGGCACAGUAGGCAUUCUUUGAGACCCUCUCCAGUGCUUCGGAAAUUCAGCUUUCAUGACACUGGUGAGCACAUUGCUGCACGUGUUCUAGAGCGUCGUGUUUUUGGAAGUGCCUGUGAGAAGAAAAAGUGGUACACCCUUCUUGUCAUUCUCACCUAUCUGCUGGUGUCAGCCCCAAGCUUCAUGAAUACUCACUGUGGAUUAAAUCUGGUGUCAGUGUGCAUCAUGCUGGUACUCACGGGCGUCUGGCCAUUCUCCAUUUCUGCCAAAGCCUGAAAUGUUGCCUGCUCUGCCAAGACUAGGACUUGCUCCUCUUCAACCAGUGCUCCAGACAACCCCCAAGGACCAGCACUUUUGAAAUGGACAGCCCUUUAUCAUUUGUGAUAAAGAGAACCAUUCCAAACAUCUGAUAUGGACAUCAUCGCAUCCUUUGAACCUGUCAACUGCAAAGGAUCCUAACUGGAAACAGGUGCCCAGAAUUGGAAGAAGGCAUGAAUAUUGAAAGUCCAGGGCCUUCACUUAGCAGAUGAGGACGAGGACAACACUCUGCAAGCAGUCUCCCUGUUGAGAGGCUUCCCUGGUGGCUCAGUGGUAAAACAUCUGCCCGCCGAUGCAGAAGACACGGGUUCAAUGCAGGAGACACUGGAUCAAGAAGAUAAUCUGGAGAAAGAAAAUGGCAGCCCACUCCAGUAUUCUUGCCUGGAAAAUCGCACAGAGGAGCCUGGGGAUCUUCCUGACCCAGAGAUCGAAUCCUGGUUUCCUGCAUUGCAAAAAGGUCUUUAACUGUCUGACCACGAGGGAAGCAUUAACAAUGCCGAAGCCGGUAGAUUUACUACUGCCUCAUUCUGUAUGUAAG